AAAGUUACAAAACCAAAACAAGGAAACAAAUUAAAUAAAAACUAAUAAUAAGGAACAAGGAAACAAAUAAUAAAACUAAUAAACUAAUGCACCUGGAGUUUAAUUUUCAAACUCUAACAUUAAAAAAAAAUAAAAAAAUAAAAAAAAGGCAUGGCAGGCAACAUGACCAUUAAAAAAAAAUGACGACCAUUAAAAAACUUGACAAAAUAAUGUACAGUACUAUCAUACUAUGAUAAGAAAAAUAAACUAAAAUAUAAUGAAAUUGAAAAAGUGGUGUUGGGCAGAUUCGAAGUGUGGACUAUGAAAAUAAGUAGCUGCUUGGUAAAAUAAGUUGAUAUUUUUGACUUUUUUUCAUGCUCCUCAUACAUUGUUUUUCUUCACAAAAAUAAAGUCCUUAUUUUUUCUAGU
rnacentral:lncRNA from 1 species